ensembl:lncRNA
CGCAUCGAUAGUAGAAACAUUGAUCGGCAACCCUUUGAUUGGUCGGCGAAGAUGUCGAAGGAGCGCGCUCAGUAUUUUUCGGCAGCAGAGCAAGAACUCUUGAUUGAGGGAUUUCAGGAGUUUCAGAGUUUAAUUAAAACGCAGGGGAACACUGCAAAGGCUGCAAAAGCAAGGAGAGAGGGCUGGCAGAAAGUUGCUGACAAAUUCAACUCGUAAGUAAUUUAUUAUAUUAUAUUACAUUAUAUCCUCUUUCACAUUAGAGCCACAACAGGACCCACUAGAACAUGGGAACAAGUAAAAGUGAAAUAUAAGAAUAUUCUACAGAAUGGUAAUAUUUAUCACUUAUAUUGCUUUUAGUCUAUGACAAGAGACCCUGAAAUAAUCUGUUUGUUUGUUUAUAACAGCAACCAAGAAAAGGGCAGAGCAAAUAAAGACAGGUGGUGGUCCUGCACCCCCUCGUCACACCCCGGCUUUUUGUACUGUGACAUUUAUUGACAUUGUGGGUUUUUGUGUGUAGUUUUACAACACUCCAUCACUUUUACCUGUUCCCAUGCAAGGGGUGACUGAAGCAUGCACAGUAAGUUGGGAGAUAUAUAUAUAUAUCUAUAUAGAGAGAGAGAGAGAGAGAGAGUGUUAAGUAAAUAAUACCCUGACGGGAGAAUCGAUAUCUCUCUAUGAGCACACCGUCGCGCUGAGCUAAAGGAUCCUGUCUGUCCCGCAAUAUCCGCUGAAUCCUGAAAACUCUCCUUAUCAAUCUUGCACCUUCCUUGCUCGCGUACAAACGGACAGGACAUGGCUGCGACAGACUUCCCAAAUCCACCUUCGCUUUUAUAGCCGUGGUCUCUCAUCUUGAUUACACGAAGUGUUUUACUAUUACUACUCUAAAAUAUGAAUUACAUCUGAAAUAAUCAAAUACAUGAAAUAGAAUGAUUAAUAGUACAUUUCCCUUUUUUUCGGAAAUGACCUGUAUGUAUCUGUAUGAAAUCAAUAAAAGAAUCAAAUACUGCAUUAUCUUUAGUUACAUUGAUGAUAUUUAUUUAUGGUAAAACAGUGGAGAAAUAUCGCUGUUGCUUUCAUAUAAAUGAAGCGGACAUACCUGAGUGGCCGCGAUCUAAUCCUGUUUACGCUUACGGAUCUGUUGCUAUGACAGCAAGUCCCGGAUGAGCUUCGGAGAACCGAACGAUCCAAGAUCACGCAAAAUCGUCAACAAUCAAAUCCGGCUAACUUACUUAGCGAGGUACGAAGAACGGGCCCCUGGAGAAGCAGCAGUAAGCAACAGAAAUGGAUCUUUGUUAUUGUUUGCCAAACUGGA